rnacentral:rRNA from 1 species
GAUGAACGCUGGCGGCGUGCCUAAUACAUGCAAGUCGAGCGAACAGACGAGGAGCUUGCUCCUCUGACGUUAGCGGCGGACGGGUGAGUAACACGUGGAUAACCUACCUAUAAGACUGGGAUAACUUCGGGAAACCGGAGCUAAUACCGGAUAGUAUAUUGAACCGCAUGGUUCAAUAGUGAAAGACGGUUUUGCUGUCACUUAUAGAUGGAUCCGCGCCGCAUUAGCUAGUUGGUAAGGUAACGGCUUACCAAGGCAACGAUGCGUAGCCGACCUGAGAGGGUGAUCGGCCACACUGGAACUGAGACACGGUCCAGACUCCUACGGGCGGCAGCAGUAGGGAAUCUUCCGCAAUGGGCGAAAGCCUGACGGAGCAACGCCGCGUGAGUGAUGAAGGUCUUCGGAUCGUAAAACUCUGUUAUUAGGGAAGAACAAAUGUGUAAGUAACUAUGCACGUCUUGACGGUACCUAAUCAGAAAGCCACGGCUAACUACGUG